rnacentral:lncRNA from 1 species
UCCAAAUGGAAAUGUUCAGCUACCUCCUCUAAUAUGCUCACAAAGUUGAGAUGGAAGAUUGUAUACUCAUCCAUCCCUGCUUUCAGCACACAGUUAGUUCAAAAAUAAAUACAGACUACAUAUCAAACAUGCUAAUUAAGCACAGAAAAAUAAGCAUUCAAUUAAUCAUCAAUUCCUACUUUUACGUGCCUAGACCAUCCCCUUAGUUAAACCCACAUUAGUGUUUAUUCUUUUUUUCCUCUUAUUCUUUUUUUUCCUAAACCCUGGCUCUGAUGCCAAUAAAAUUGUCACGCCCCAAGUGAUAAAAUUGUCACGCCCCAAGUUAGGCUAGUAAACAAAUUAUUUUCUAAUAUGCACAAGAGCCAACUUUAUUCAUUACUAGCUAUUACAAAGGUUAUGAUACAUGCAACUCCUUUAUUUAUUCCCAACCCGUAGAGCUACUCCUACUGUUCAUCAUUCUCAUCAGCACAUCCAUCAUUUGCUACUUCUGCAAAAUCAACAACAAUAGCAAGAAUGAGUAUGAUCUCAUACUCAGCAAGCACACGGAUACAAAGGAACUUCUCUCGGCAAAAGUGACAAAACACAAGGGUUAGUUGUAAAAAAAAAGAGUUUGAUGGCACAGGAAGAUAAUGGAGAUUAAUUUAAAGAAAAGAAAAGAAAUAACUGGCAUCACAUAUGACCGCAAGCUUCCCAACCCGGGAGUCACAAGGGUGAAAAUUUCACACUUUUACGCUCUUAAGAGGGGUACUCUGACGUCGACAGCCUCGACUAGAACCACACAGGCGCUAGUAGAGCAGAGCUCUUUAUUCCCCCAAGAACCGACCACUCGACUUACUAGUGUCGAUCGCUCCUACGGAUCCAUCAUCGACACGCUUCCGAACGAGUGGUGUUCUUAGCGGAGAACUCAGACAGUCCCAUACCUGAACUGUGACUGAUACAAUACGUUUGCCGUCGUGAUACCAGAUUUUUAUAAAAUUUACUAGACAAAGAUUAGCAAGAGGAAAUACAUGCAAGACCAAGAUAAAUAUCUCUAGGCUUUUCACAGAACCAACCAUCCAUGCAUGAGCCAUUAAUCCAUGUGCUCACAUGCAUGUACCAAUGAUUUCUCCACCGUGAUCAUAAACCAAAAAGGUAGUACUGUGGUAUGCAUGCUAGCUUCAAGAGAUGUACAGGAAUCAAAUCAUACGAACAGUGCACAUUAUAGAGCUUGAGAAGUACUACUAGAUGUAGAGCAUGGCAUGAAUAGUGAGACAAACAAGGAAUAGGACAGCUAGAAAGGCUAGAUGGAACGCAUGCUUGCCUGACUCGCUGACUCGCUGCUUCCUCCGAGCGCUCUUGCCGAUCAGUGUGAUUCUACUCCAUGCAAAGCUAGCUAGUGAACUGGUUUGUAUGUUG